GGAGGGGUGGGUGAGUGGCUGAAACCAACGGUUUGCUAAAUCGUCCAGGGACCUAAAUCCCUGCGCGGGUUCGAAUCCCGCCCCCUCCGCCA
rnacentral:tRNA from 4 species